rnacentral:rRNA from 1 species
AACUACACAUAAGAGGUCCUGCCUGCCCUGUGACCCCUGGUUCAACGGCCGCGGUAUUUUGACCGUGCAAAGGUAGCGCAAUCACUUGUCUCUUAAAUGAGGACCUGUAUGAAUGGCACAACGAGGGCUUAACUGUCUCCUUUCCCUGGUCAGUGAAAUUGAUCUUCCCGUGCAGAAGCGGGAAUCCUAACAUAAGACGAGAAGACCCUAUGGAGCUUUAGACUUCAGAACAGAUCAUGUAAGCUACCCCCAUGAAAUGGGUAAUAACUAUUGAACCCCUGUUCCCCUGUCUUUGGUUGGGGCGACCACGGGGAAGAAAAAAACCCCCAUGUGGACCAGGAGCACACUACUCCUACAACCAUGAGCCACAGCUCUAAUGCACAAAAUCUUUGACCAUUAGAUCCGGCAAAGCCGAUCAACGGACCAAGUUACCCUAGGGAUAACAGCGCAAUCCCCUUUAAGAGUCCAUAUCGACAAGGGGGUUUACGACCUCGAUGUUGGAUCAAGACAUCCUAAUGGUGCAGCCGCUAUUAAGGGUUCGUUUGUUCAACGAUUAAAGUCUU